UUCCUAUGAUGACUUGUCAUGCUAAUACAGAGGGCCCGCUGUGACGCUGGAUGUGCUGGUGACACCUGGGCCGCCAUGAGUUGACACUCUCUAACUGAGGAAC